AACAUGCUGUCAUUUCCUUAUUAGGGUGUGUGAAGCAUCCUGUGCUUCACCACAUGGGCUGGAACUCUCCUGGAAGCUGGGCAGACAACACCCCACCUCCAUGAGUUUGCUCAGGUGGAGCCUGAGGAAGAGCCAGGGGCUGCUCUGGUAUUUUCUCCUGGGUUUCAGCUCUGUGGCAGACUAAGUCCCUCAAGUUUGGGGAGUUUGUUUACUUAUUGUUUGAGAGAAACAAGAACUUUUGUUAUCUUCUGGGACCCUGGAACUCCAUUGUCACUGGGGCUAGGGGAGAGAUGACAUUACCAGCUUUCUGCUUCUUUUGGAAAGUGGUGAGUGUUUGCCUACAUGUAUGUGUGUGUAUUACAUACAUGCCUGCUGUCUAUAGAGGCCAGAAGAGGAUAUCAGAUCCUGGUGGAACUGGAGUUACAGAUAAUCCUGAGCAAACAUGUGAGUGCUGGAACCAAGCCUCAGUCCUCUGCAAGAGCAGCAAGUACUCUACUGCUGAGUCAUCUUUCCAGCUCCUUCGUUUUUCUUUUUUAGACAGAAAGCUAAUCCUCAGAUGAGUCACAAAGGACUAAGAAGUAAGGAACGGUCUCUAUCUGAGAGAUAAAAGCUGAGUAACUACAACAAUGCCGUCAGAAGCAGCCGCCGCAGAAAGCUGAGCCCAUCACCCGCAG